rnacentral:rRNA from 1 species
UACAGAGGUGGCAAGCGUUGUUCGGAUUUACUGGGCUUAAAGGGCGUGUAGGCGUCCUGAUAAGUCAGAUGUGGAAGCCCUGGGCUUAACCCAGGAAGUGCAUUUGAAACUGUCGGGAUUGAGUCGUGCAAGGGAGGGCGGAAUUCCUGGUGUAGCGGUGAAAUGCGUAGAUAUCAGGAGGAAGGCCGGUGGUGAAGACGGCCCUCUAGGCAAUGACUGACGCUGAGGCGCGAAAGCGUGGGUAGCAAACAGGAUUAGAUACCCUGGUAGUCCACGCCCUAAACGGUGCGUACUAGGUGUGGGUGGCGAUAGUCAUCCGUGUCGAAGGGAAACCAUUAAGUACGCCGCCUGGGG